GUCGAGGGGUAUAGUUCUUCGGAGCUAGAGACCGGCGCACGGGUGCGUAACGCGUAUGCAAUCUACCUUUCACAGAGGGAUAGCCCAGAGAAAUUUGGAUUAAUACCUCAUAGUAUAGCAGUUUCGCAUGAAACCACUAUUAAAGUCACAACGGUGAAAGAUGAGCAUGCGUCCCAUUAGCUAGUUGGUAAGGUAACGGCUUACCAAGGCUACGAUGGGUAGGGGUCCUGAGAGGGAGAUCCCCCACACUGGUACUGAGACACGGACCAGACUCCUACGGGAGGCAGCAGUGAGGAAUAUUGGUCAAUGGGCGCAAGCCUGAACCAGCCAUGCCGCGUGCAGGAUGACGGUCCUAUGGAUUGUAAACUGCUUUUGCACAGGAAGAAACAACGCUACGUGUAGCGUCUUGACGGUACUGUGAGAAUAAGGAUCGGCUAACUCCGUGCCAGCAGCCGCGGUAAUACGGAGGAUCCAAGCGUUAUCCGGAAUCAUUGGGUUUAAAGGGUCCGUAGGCGGUUUAGUAAGUCAGUGGUGAAAGCCCAUCGCUCAACGGUGGAACGGCCAUUGAUACUGCUAGACUUGAAUUAUAAGGAAGUAACUAGAAUAUGUAGUGUAGCGGUGAAAUGCUUAGAGAUUACAUGGAAUACCAAUUGCGAAGGCAGGUUACUACUUAUGGAUUGACGCUGAUGGACGAAAGCGUGGGUAGCGAACAGGAUUAGAUACCCUGGUAGUCCACGCCGUAAACGAUGGAUACUAGCUGUUGGGAGCAAUUUCAGUGGCUAAGCGAAAGUGAUAAGUAUCCCACCUGGGGAGUACGU
rnacentral:rRNA from 1 species